AGAGAAUCAAAUGUUGUGGUGGGAUUCUCAGGUGUUAAUUCAAUAGUUAAUGUGGCUUUGGGUUCCACAGGUGCCAUCAACUUGUCUGCAUUUUCAGUCAUUCGGUCUGCAAAAUCCACAAGUCCUUCUUCCACAGCAGGUACACUAGAAUCUUCGAUAUAUUUCAGCUCCCCACUUCCCAUAGGGUUCAUCUCAUUUGCCGCUUCAACAGAAUAACUCCACGCAUUAGAUGGUUUGCAACUAAUGUCGUCUAAUUCAUUUGGACAGGAAUUAAUGAAAUCUAUGGAGACUGAUUUACUGUUUUCAACAAAACUAGAGUACAAGGACUUUGUAGCUUGUGUUUUAAAGCAAACUCUCUGGAGAUGAGUUCCAUUUUUCAAGCCCAAAUCAAUACCAUCUUCCACAUUACACUUCAAUUCAAAGUCCUUCCUGAAUGGGGAAAAGGAUUGCAAACCUCCAUGGAAUGAUGUCUGCUAAUUGAAAAAUGCAAAUGCAAUCAAUGUUUAAACGCAAGAUUCCCAAGGCAACAAAAAAGUAAGAGAUUUCAGGGCAUGUAUUGCAAGAUUCCCAUCAUUUUUUGUACAUUUCGAUUCAAAGUCCUUACUGAGUGAAAAUGUCAUCUUUGUAAUGUAGGGUAGUUCGAGUGCACAAUAUCAAUCAUGCAACAAUGACCUACAACAUCUAUGUGGAUUGAUUUUUGCAAAAUAAAGAACAAUGCUGACUGAGGAAUAAGGUGCAUACCAGAUUAGCAAUAUCUCAGCAAGUAACCAACAAUUUUUUAUCUGAUAAGAAAAAAUUACAAUUUCUUGAAUAUACAUGAAACAUUUUGCAGAAAGAACCAUGUCAUAAUUAUGAGUCCAACUGAAGAAUUAUCAAUACUUAUCACAUGAAACGAAAGAUACCCGAGUUCACUUAAUGAAAUUCUCUUUUUUUUCUCUAACAUUGAGAUAAGCAAAAACUUUUAACUAAAGACAAUCAUCUAGUGAUCUCAAACAAAUUAGGUUAGUAUGAAACCAUCAUAAUUUGUUCGCUCAUUGCCUAAUUUUAUUAAUGCAAGAGCCUGGAAGCAACUCAAAAAGAAAAUAACCAACAUAGGAAGUGUCAUCUCAUAUCUCACCAAUGAAUGGGAACAGCUUGAUGUGGCUGAGCAAACUGGCAGAAUUGUCAUUUUAACACACGUUCAAGAAACUCAGCAAAUUCUCAUAUCUGUUUAAAUUCCACAGCAAAGAUAGUUACAAGAAAUCUAAUCAAAAUUUAAAAUGUCAGAAGGCAAAUCUUCCAAUUAGGAUCAAAAGAAGAUAAUUAUAAUUUGUCAUUUCAAUUCUGAUUGUACAAUUUUAUUUUUUUAUGUGUGCAUUUAUUAAGAUUCUACCUUCUCUUCCAAAUUGUGAUGGACUUGGUAAAUAAUGAAUUGUACCGACUUGAAUUUUAUACAACUUAUUGAGAUAAUAAUACGCAAAAUUCAACACCGUCCAUCCCAAAUCACAACAAGAAACACAAACUUUUAUCCCCUCAAGUGGGUUCUUGAAACUCAAGCUUUAGUGCCAGUACAAUUUUGAAAGAUUGUGAUCAAACUAAAACAUCAAAUAAAAUAAGACGUAACAAAAACACGUCUUCAGAAAAUUAGUAUAGGAAUAAAGAUAAGCUACACAGACCUACUUCAAGGAAUUAGAAAAAUUAUGAUAAACUUGAUGCAUUUCGAAAAACAACAAACAAAUAUUCCCAGGAAAACAAAAAAAAGACAACUUUGUUUAAGCUUAGACAAAAAUAACUAAGGACAUAUGAAUGCAUCAUAAUAGUAUCUAUUCCCCAAUUGAGUUCACCAACAUAAAAUCAGCAUAUAGUCUUAGCAAAAUUUGUGUGAAAAUGGGCUAAAGUAAACCCAAAAACCAUUUGAAAUUCAAUCUCUGAUGCAAGAAACAUCCAAAACUUAAGAUAAAUAAACUAAAUUACACAACCCCAUUUGAUUUCAUGACAAAGAGAUCAAAUCUUGAACUGUGUAUCUUGAAAUUCAGCCGUUAGUAACUGCAAAAUUAUCAAAAAAAUGAGCUAAACAUAUAUAGCAUUUCAGAGGAGUGCUUACUUGACAAAUCACUAAUACAAAGCUGCGAAUGGGCAUUCGGAAUGUUUUGAGAGCCUCGUGUAGAUAAAAUAUGAAGUUAUUUAAGUAAUGACAAAAGGAGAAUCGUGUGGCUUGUCAAAGCCGUUAGCUCCAUCUCAUUUGCCUCGUCCUCUCGUUUUGUUUCUGUGGGGACAUAUUUGAUAUUUCGGAUUUUGUCUAAAAUUUGUCAUGUUUUUGGAUACUAACAUCUACGCCUCUAGUAUUUAAUAAAAUUGUUAUUAAGGAUAAGCUUUUCAUUUUUUUCAUCUUUGAUCUUUUUGAAGUCGUAUUUUUUUAUAAAUUUUAUUAAUAAACCAAUAAUUUGACAUUAAACCAAUUAUUUCUGAACCCACUAAAUUCUUCCCUGCACCUAUUAAAAAAAAAUCAUUCAUAAUAUUUAAAAUUUCAAAAUUUUAAAAAUUACCCUUCAUAAAUCUCUUUUUCUUUCUAUCUUACAAUUGAAUAUUCUUUCUCUACUCUAACAUUUUGUAAACUAAGCGUUUAAUUUCACUAUUUUUGAAUUUAUUUUUGUCUUUUCUUAGCAUAUUAUGAUCUCUAUUUCAUGUUUUCUAUAUAUAAGAAUUUUUUUUUAUAUCCAUAAAAUUUUGUGUUUGGUGAAAAUUAAUGGGAAAUUUACACCAAUAACCACAAAAAUUUUGACUUUUUCCAUCUUAACCCCCCAAACAAACUUCUAUCAACAUUAGCCAUAAAAAAUAAUUUGAGACCAAAAUACCCCUCUCUCUCAUCUCUCCCCUAACAAUCUCUCUUUCACCCAUCUGUCCCAAACCGAAGAACCUCCCAUCAUCGGCGGCGUUGGCGGCAACAUCAGCACUCAUCGGCGGCGGCUAAUACCCCUCUCUCUCAUUAACGCAUAAGCAAUUGCAGCAAUUGGUACCAAAAAAUUCAAUGACAUUGAUACCCAGAUGAUAUAACAAUCUGAAAGGAAAGAAAUCAGUCAAACUCCAGGAACAGAAAUUCACGUGUUUACUUGCAUAACUCAGUUUUUUGCUGUGCCUCCACAAAUACAUUGGAAAAGGAAUAGCUUGUAUAUAUUCUGUACCAAGAUACAAAGAAACAGCAUUGGAGGCAAUUUGGGGAACCAAUAACGGCUGUAAAAUCGUGACCUAUGCCUAUUUACAGCGGAUGAAUGGCAAAACAAAUGGGGACGAGGGUGGGAGCUGAAAUGGAUAGGUUACCAUGCACAUGCUCUGGUAAGCCACAGAAGCAACAAAAAUGAAGUCACAAAUGCAUGCAGGUGUGUCAUUUAAUUCGUCAGAGGGUGUCAAAUCCUGGCAUUGCAAACUGGGAAGCAAAUGCCUCAACCCGAUUUCGGAGGUCAACAAUCUCUUUAUUGUUCUGGAGACCUUCGUGGAACCCUUUCUGCAGUUUGCUAAGUUUUACAGCCCUGAUUUUGGAAGGAGUGGGGAAGAAUAUGGGCAUAAGAAUGCCUCAGAUGUAAUGCUUUGCAGUAAUGGACGACAUUGCCCCAAGCUCAAGUGCCGGGUGAGCAUCUUUAUCUAAAAUUUUUGUGAGAUGCAUAUAAUAUAAAAUGUGGCAACAGGCUUGGUGCGACAGGCAGCUUGUUGCUAGAUUCACCCACGACUCGCAGUGACUGAAACUCUCGAGUAAGUUCAGAAAAUAACUCAUAUCACUAUGUAAUACCGGUUAGUGUUGGAUCCGGAUAGAUUAUUAUCAAAUUUCACUUUUAUCGUUGUCUUUUGCAGUCGCCGUUUGUUGAUGAUCAAGAGUGGAAAGCUGCCUUUGGUUUGUCGAAAGGGGAGAAAGAAAAUUACUUUUGGUUUGUAAAGAAGGGUAAUUUGGGGAGAAAAGCGUAUGUUUGGCUAAUGUUGAUAGAAAAAAGUUGAGAGGAUUAAUUGUAAAAAUAGCAAAAGUUUUAUGGUUAUUUUUGUAAAUUUCCCAAAAUUAAUUUCUUGAUAUUUGUUAAUUUUUAUAACUGAUAAAAAUAUAUCAAUGUUCAUUUUUAAAUGAUGGGUUUUGUUCAUUUUAGUUAGUUAUAUUAAUUUUUUGUAGGUAAAAAAAUAUAUUUGAAUGAAUUGAAGGAAAAUUGUGAAAUUGAGAAGAGACAGAGAAGAAAAAGUUAAUUAAAUAUUUUUUCAAAAAUUAUUCAAAUAAUAAAAUUCUUAAUUAAAAACAAAGAUGGAGAGAGAAAUUUAGUGGGUUCAAAAUACUUAUUUUAAUUCCAGAAAAGAACCAAUAAAAGAAAUCAAAAGAUGAUUCUUUUAUUUCUCGACAUAUUUCUUUGUACUUUUCUCUCUCUACUGAUUCACAAUUUUUCAUACUUCUAACUAUCAUUUUAUUCAAUUAUUUUGUAUUUUUAAUGACAAUUAUUUAACUUUUAGUUAGUUUUGAUAUUGAUUAGAGAUUGAAAGUGUAUUUUAGAAGACUUCCGGUCUCUUGAAAAAAGGAAAAAUGGAGAAGAAGAAGAAGUGUUCAUGAUUUUUUGUAGGCGUUAAAGUUAAAUGGUUUGAAAUGAUAUUUUGUUUUAAUUUCACUCAUUAAUCUCAUUCAGGAUAAAAUUAUAAAUGCAAAUAAAUGGGGUUUCAUAAGUAUUUUUAAUAGUGUUAAAAGGUCUACUCACUAAAUAAACAUGUUUUACCCAAACCAAUGCGAUUAGUAAGUUAUUGGGUUGCGUUGAUCAGGUUAAAAAUCAAAAUUAAAAAUUAAAUAAAUAAAAAAGGCAUAAAAACUAUAUGUUACUUGAAAAUAAAAAGAAUUUCUAAUAGUUAGUUCUAAUGUCCCAUAUCCAAAACAUGCAUAUUAAAUAAAUAUUAUAAGUUAGAAAUACAAUAUCCAAGAAAGAAUGAAUGAAAUACCAUAUUUUUGUUGAGAAUUAAGAGUGUGAUUUUAAUUUUGAUAUUGGAGUCUAAAGUGCUACGUUUAAAUAAUCUCUUUUAUAAAAUAAUAAAAAGAGGUUAAAAAUUAGGUUAGCCAUUUAGGCAUUUAGGGUUUAACAAUUAAGGAUGAACAUAUUAUUGUUGUUGUUGUUGUUGUUGUUGUUGUUAUUAUUAUUUAUAUGUUUACUAAUCCAAUCCAAUCCAAUUAUUAACGAAUUUGAAAAAAUUGAUCCAAUCAAGCCGUAAUAAUUCAUUCAACUCGUCUAAAUUGGAUUAGGUUGAAUUUGGUUUGCCACCCUUAUUUUGAGCAACAAACCUCAAUGUGAUUCCAUGAGCUCUUUGAUUGUUUAUAAAAUUGAUUUCGAGUACAUAAUGGAGAGUAUCGACAAUGAAAGUGCAAAACAAAUUAUUGUAUACAUUAAAAUGUGCAAAACAAUGAAUUAUAUGUACGAACGAGUGCAAACACAUUUUUCAAUAAGAAGUUAAAAGAUAUUUAUGCAUGAAAAAGCCUACGUUUGUAGUUAUUCUAAAUUUUAAAAACAAAAUUUACAUUUAGAUCCCUAAAAUUUACGUAUAAGUACAAAAGUUUCAAAUAUUGUCUAUUAUUUUUUUAACAUGCCUAUUCCUUGUGGAUAAUUCUAUCUCAUCACUAAUGUUGUUUCUUGCUUACAAUUUGUAUAGGGAUGGCAAAAAUUCUCACGGGGACGGGUACCCUCGGAGAUUUUCCUCAUUUGGGGAGGGUAUGCGGAUAAUUUCAUACCCAAUUUCUUAUUCGGGGAAGGGACGGGGAAAUUUUUUUACCCAAUUUCGUAUUCGGGGAGGGGACGGGGAUGAGGUGGAAUCCCCAUCCUCUACCCAUUUCCCCAUUUUACUUUUUAAUUUAAUUUUUAUUUUUUAAAAUUACUAGUAAAUAAAUAAUAAAUUUUGAAUUAUAAAAUUAUAAGUAUUGGUAAAAAUAAAAAAUAUCAAAAUAUUUAUAUUAUUAAACUUUUAGGCCUAAUUAACUAAUUAAAGUUCUAAAUUUUUAUUUAGGACAUUAAAAAUAUUGAACAGAUUCUAUUAGCCCAAAACUUUUGUUUUAAUUUUAAUAUUCAUUAAAUAUUUUAAACUUAAAUCUAUUUUUUAUUUAUCUUAAAUCUAUUUUUUAUUUAUUUUUAGAUGUUAUAAUUGCCCACAGCAAAUCACAAUUUUAAUAUCUAAUCUAAUCUAAUAUUUGAUAUUGAUUUGCUUCGACUUAACUAUUGUGUUGUAAAGGGAAUAGUCUACAUUUAUAAAGUGCCCACGCCACCAUUGAAAAGCUAAUUUUGAAUCUAAAUUUGAUUUUAUUUGUAACAAUUUUGUAGUAGGCUAUUAAUUUGUUCAUGAUAGUUUGUAUCCCUUACAUGCUGCGUUACUUACUAAUUUAAUGUAUGUGACUUUUGUAAUGGAUAUUAAUGUAAGAUAUAUUUCGAACUUUACUUUUAUUUGAAUUUUUUAUUUUAAUAUGAUUAACUUAAAAUCAAAAACAAAAAAAUGUAUUAGUUAUUCGGGGAUCGGAGACCCUCGGGGAUCCACUGUUAUUAUUCGGGGAGGGGAUGAAGAUUCUCUUAAAUAAAUUUGACGGGGAUGGGGAGGGGACGGGGAUAUACGCAAAAUAUCGAGGAUGGGUACGGGGAGAUUGGUCCCCUCUUCUCCCCUCUCCAUUGCCAUCCCUAAAUUUGUAUAGCGUCUCAAAAUAGACAAUAGGGGGAUUUUGAAUUUUUUAAGUCUCAAUAUAGUCUCUAAUCUUGUGAGAAAGAUUUUCUUUCAAUAAUUUGGAGGUAAACAUAACAUAACUUUUUGGACUAAAGCCUAACUCUGCUGGUUAUGGUGGUAUCCUUUUCAAGAACUGAGUAUUUAGAUUCGAGUUUUAUAGAGUGUGCAUGCGUUUUUAAUUAAUAUUUUUUUAAAACAAUACAUCAAAUAUUAAUAUCCAUGACAUAAUUUAGUUCUUAAUUUUUUUUAAAUACAUCAAAAACAUAAUUUUUUUAACAACUUAUAGGCAUGACAAAUUUCAAGAUAUAAAUAUCAGUCAAAAUAAGUGAAAGAAAUAAUGGUGCCAAUUCUAAUUUCUUAAUUAAAUUAAUUAGUGCAUGAGCCCUGAAUACGACACGAGAGUUUGAUGGGCUAACAUGGCACAAGAACCUGAAUAAAUAAUUGAUUUAAGAAAUAAUUCAACGAAAAAUAUAAUUGAUAAGAAUUCAGUAUUGAAAUGAGUUUUUUAUGAAACACUGAAUUAAUGAUUAUUAAGCAAGAACAAUAAAAAAUAAAUAUUAAUCAUUGAUAAGUUUCAACAAAAGCUUAACACAAUCCUCAAUCCUAAUUCAAAUUAUAAAUGUCAUUCAUAUAUUCAUUAUAAUCAACAACAAAGGUUAUAAAUGUUUAGAAAUUCUAGAGGGAAGGAAGCUAUCGCUGGGCAAUCAACAACUAAAUUUGAUGUAAUUGUGGCACGAGAUGGAAUAUGGAAACUACACCAUAAUUUCAAAUGCCGCCACAGACAUUGACUUAUCUACAAUAACAAUGAUCUAAUUAAAAUAAAAAUAAAGUUUAUGGGCAUUUAUUAAAAUAAAAAUAGGAGUGAAGUAAAAACAUUUAGAUUUUAAUGUAUGUACGGAAAAAAUUAUCUUUAAAAAUACUUUCUUAAUGUGUGUGUGCAUAUUGAAAUACUCAAACCAAUUUUGGUUAUAUAUAAUUAAACAAAAUUUAAAAUAUGAAAAAUAUAAUGUAGUUAUAGUGGAUAAGCAAUAAGUGAGCACAAUAUAAUUAAUCAAAUAUUAUGCUAUCAAAAGUUAAUUUUAGAAAUUCCAAAUCCAAUAGCUAACACAAUUCUUUAAAGAAAUAAUAUGGGGCAUUGGGCAAGAGUAAUGAAUGCUUAGUGGGUGCAUUUGAUUGAUAGAUAUAUAAAGGGCCGAAACUUGAUAUUAUAUUACUUUUUACAAAUUUUAAUCCAAUCACAUAUUUAAUGAAAACAAAAUGAGUUAGGAUUGUUUAUUUAGAACCCACAUUUUAAUAAGGCUUCAUUUGAUGUAGUUUUUCAAACAUUGAUUAUUUGAGUAAUUACAAAUUUUAAUCCAAUCACAUAUUUAAUGAAAACAAAAUGAGUUAGGAUUGUUUAUUUAGAACCCACAUUUUAAUAAGGCUUCAUUUGAUGUAGUUUUUCAAACAUUGAUUAUUCGAGUAAAGUUUCCUCAAUAGAGUUUUUAUCAAACAAAUUUUAUUUAUUUGGUUGUCAAUAAGAGUUUUUAUUAAAAAUUAUAAAUUUAUUUAAAUAAACAUAUUUUUUAAAAUUACAUUAUAAAAAGAAUUAAAUAAAGUUAUAAAAGUAAAAUAUAUUUUAGAUAUUUUAAUAUUUAAGAAAAAAAUUUUGAAUCUCUACUUUCAGAAACUCAAAUUUUUAGCUUUUAAUUGUAGAGACAAAAUAUCUUAUUUAAUCUUUAAAAGUUAUGCUAAAAACAAUCAAAUAACUACCAAAAUUUUAAUAAGAACACAUAAAAUUAAACAAGCAUUUAUUAAUAAUCACUUUAGUGUACUUAUCUAAUGACCAUAAAUGUUUAUUUAAUCUCAUAAGUUCUUAUUUAAUCUCAUGAGCUCUUUUCAAUUUUUUUGUUGUUUUUUUUAGUAGAGCUUUUCAAAAUUAAAUAAACUAUUUUGCUCAUACUAGGAAAAACUAAAAUUUUAGGUUUUUGCGAAUAAUUGUUUAAAAUUUUUAAAAAAUAUUAAAAUGUCUAAAAUAUCUUUUUUUAUUUCAUAAUCUUAUUUCAUUUCUUCAUAACAUAACUUUAAAUAACUUAUCUAUUAAAAUAAUUUCACAAUUUCUAAUAAAAACUCUAAUUGACAAUUAAGUAACAACUUUUUUUUUUUGUAAAAAAUCUAUUAAUAAAAAAUCUAUUUAAAUAUAUUAUAUUUGAAAAGGUAUGCUAAAGGAACCUAAGAUAAAAACAAAAAUUUUUACAUCCAGACAAUUAGGGGUUUUUAAUUAAAUACCCUUUAAUAAUUUCAAAAUUAUUUAAAUACCCCCUCCCUUUUUGGUUUUCAUGGAUACCCUAACAAAUGUGAGCAAAGUCGGAAAUACCCUUAAUGAAUGCAUCAAAUUCACUCAAUGAAUUGUCUUCAUAUUUCUUUCCUCAUUUCUUUCACCCAAAUCUAUUUUUGCUGCCGAUUCUUUCAAAAUCUCUUAGAAUCUCUCAAAAUCUCUCAUAACUUCUUACACAAAUACAAUUAUGUAUUCAUUUAUUUAACACCCACUAUUUUUUUAAAGGUGCAUUGCUUAUUAAACAACCCAAUAAGGUAUGUUAAUGUUGUUGGGUUUUAAAUUUUUUAAUUUUUAGGAAAAUUUAGAAAUUUUCCUCACAUUACAAUGUUUUAUUUUCACCAUUUUUUCUUAUACGUAGAAAUAUAUGCAAUGUAGGUUGUUUAAUUAUUUUUUCAGCAAUAUAACUUAUUUAUGGCGAAAAUGUUUCGAGUCGUGCAUUCUUUUGAUACCGUGUACGUCAUAUAGUUAGUCAUGUAGGUCGUGUAAGUAAUAUAGUCGUGUAAGUCGUGUAUGUAGGUCAUGUAAGAAAUAUAGUCAUGUAGGUCAUGUAAGAAAUAUAGUCGUGUAAGUCGUGUAAGUCGUGUAAGUAAUAUAGUCGUGUAGGUCAUGUAGGUCGUGUAGUUACUUGUAUAUGAAAUUUAAUAUUAUUGUUUUUAUUGUAUCAUCAGAUAUGGUUUUGGUACGUGUGCCUAUUCUCUUCAAUGGUGAAUGGAUUGAGCAAAAUGACGAGUAUAAGUUCAAAGGUUCAAAGGCUAAAAGGAUAAUGAUACCACGAUCGACAACAUAUGUCGAAUUGGUGGAGAAGAUAGCUGAAGUUAUUGAUAUAGAUACUUCAGAAUUUGAAAUCACAAUGAAGUUCAAACUUAAGACAUCUGAUAGUAUGCCACCAGUUACAAUUCAAACCAAUGAUGAUGUGGAAUUUUUUUAGAUUCCAAUUUAAUUUCACUUCUUUUUUUAAUAAUUUUCGUUGACAUUUUCUGCAUAGCAGCAAAUAUAAAUUCUUAGCACAAAUUAAGUCUUUAAAGAACUAAAUUAAUCUAAUGAUUAAUGGAAAAAUUCGUGUAAUUUUAAAGUCGCAAUUAAACAUAUUACAGACAUUUAAAAAGUUUUUUUUUUUUUUAUCUUCAAAGUGUUUUCUUCCUCUGGCCAAGCAUACAAGCAUACAUGAGGAAUGCCUGCAUAUAAUUAAUCCAUGAAAUCAAUUAAGAAAAAAAAAUAUCAACUAUAGGAAAUUAAUGUAAUGUUAUACACAUAAGAACACCAUUCGCAGUGAUAAAAUAUUUCCACUCAUAACUAGACAUAUCAUGACUUACCAUGGCUUAUAAUUGGAAAUUAAGAAUCUCUCUAACUAAUGGCAUUUCACAAGGUAAAGGUAUAUGCACCAUUCCAAUUUAUUGUGAGCCUAAUUAAACUAAAUGUAAUGUGUAGAUUCUAUUGACAAGAAACAAAAUGUGGAAUUGAAGGUCGUGUAAUUGUGUAAUACAAGAAGAUCGUGUAAUUGUAUAAUACAUGAAGGUCGUAUAAACGUGUAAUACAUGAAGGUCGUGUAAACGUGUAAUACAUGAAGGUCGUGUAAUCGUGCAAUACAUGAAGGUCGUGUAAUCGUGCAAUACAUGAAGGUCGUGUAAUACAUAACCUUGAAUCUUACAUAACCUUACACGACUAAAUCUUGUGUUACAUAACAAAAUUAUAAUCAGCACAAUCCAUUAAUUUUUCACAAUUUGCAUACAGCAAAACAACUAGAAAUUUGUUUUCGAAUAUGUUAUGAGAGACCCACAACUAAUUAAUCUAUUUUUUCAAUAUAAAACCCUAACUUUUUGUUUUUUUCCCUUGAAUAUUAACAAGAAAACUAAUUACAUGGAAUUACUUGUCUCAACUAGUUACAUUCUGACAAUUUUGCAGUAAAUGAUAAACUCUCUCCAGCGAUUAUGUAGUGACGAACUAUGCUUCACUUUCUCAGUUGUGGCAGCUUCCCCUUCUCAGGCUUAGUUUGCUCGUGUUGAAGUUCGAUUUACCAUGUAUGGAGAAUGAAUGUUUGUUUCGGUAGAGGUGAUGCCGGUGAGGAAAUUGCAGUGUUUGUUUGUUUGAGUUUGAUAAUGGAGGGAAUUGCAGCAGAUGAGUGUUUGUUUGCUUCAGUAGAGAAGGGAGAGGUGCUGUCCGUUGAGUUGAAAUGUUUUAAAAUGAGGAUAGCUUAGUAAUUUCCUAUCAGUUUUUAAAGGGUAUCGAUGAAAAUUUUGGCAAAAACAGAUUUUAGGGUAUUGUGAUAAUUUUUGAAGUAAGGAGGUGUACCGGGCGCAAUUGGCACAGACAAUUAAGCUUAAAACAAUUUCAAAUGAAUUUUAGACUAAUGAAAGUCGAUUCUCAUCCAAGUUUGGUAACUUAUUGACAUCUUCUCAUAUAACCUUCGAUCAAGUCGAUUCUUACCUGACGACUAAUUGGUACAUCACCGUUGUUCUCUAUACUCGCAUGCAUCCGAUCACAAAUCUCUCUCCAAUUGUCGUCUUUCUUCGCCGUUUUAGCGCAUCCUUCUUGAAUUUCCCGCAUUUCGUUCCCUCCUGUUACAAGUCUCCGGUCAGGUCAGUUUACUUGCCGAUUAAUUCGGCAAAUCUCGAAUCUCUUCUCUAUCUCUCUCGUUUUCUCGCGUCGUUUCACUUCAAUUUUUUGUGUCUCCUUUCAGUUUAAGUGAUUGAAUUAAUUUUAUCGCAGUCGUAAGAGAAAUUAAGUAAUGCUCUUGGAUUUAAAAUUUUUUUGCUUUCGACUUUAGAGUCUCGAAAGUCAAACUCUGCUACGAAUCCAUAGAUUCUCAAUGUUUAUAAUCUUAUUUGUGUUUGACCAGGUAACUGGAUCGUGAAAUUCGUCGUUUUGUAUCAAUUCAAGCUUUCGCGAGCUCAUGGAAUCACCUGGUGAGUUGUGGUGAAACGUUAUCGUUUCAAUUUUCGCUUAAUUCUUUAUUGCAUAUUUUUUUUCUCUAUUAUUUCAGUUUAAUUUAGAAAAGAAAGAGGACCCAAAAAGAGAGAGAGAGAGAGAGACUCUACCAUACUCAAUUCCUUGCUCAUUCUGAUUUGGCCUGAAUGUUGGCAUUGACAAUUAUUUGUUUUCAUUUCCAUUUAAUUCUCAUUUAGACAGUCUUUACUAACGGUCAAUAAUAGUUUAAGGAAAAUUAUAAUAGGGAUUCUGCAAUAAUCUUUCUGCAUUGUUCAAGUUAGUAGACAAUGAAUAGGAUGUUUAUGCUUACCUCAUUUUGAACCCUGAGGGCUUAGUUGAGUAGUUGAUCCAACAUAUCCAGCAACGGUUGAUGUGAGAACAGGAUGCCACUUAGAUAGGCUUAAACUGGUUUUGGAGGUUUGUAUUCAUUCUAUUGUACGUCUUGCUUACAAAUUUUUUAUUUUGUAUAAUAUGCUCUUUGUUGGUAAAUCUCAUUUGACUUAGAAAAGAUAGUUUUAUCCCAACAGUAGGAUAAAUCAUUGAGAUGCAUGGCAGUGUGAAUAUAGUAGACAAAAUCAUUGAGACACAUGGUGGUGUGAACAUAGUAAACUUUGUCAAACACAGCUAAGAUGAACAAAUUGUUUCAUUAACCUUUAUCUUAUCUGCUGUGAUGAUUCAAAUUAAUGCUGUUUGGUAGGUUGCAAAAAACGAAAUGAGCUGACUGUUCGUAUUAUUUAGUCAGAUCUCUAGCAAUAAGUUGAAGUUCAUUGUCACAUGGGUUGGGAGUAGCAUGGGCUGUGAGUAGUAGAAUGGAUUUAUGGAGUUGAUACAAGUGCCCAUAAUCUAUCAUGUCAUUCUAGGAUUAAAUGGAUUGCACAUUACUGUAAAGUUGGAGGUUAAAUUUAUAUAAUUCGGAUUGAUUGUAAAAUGGGAGGCAGAGAUGAGUUAGAAAAAGAAUGACCUGUGUCCUUUUUGAGCUGUUUCUAAAUCUCCCUGGUGUGCUUCAUGCUUAACACGUGUCUUUCCAAAUAAUUUUGCUUAACCUGUGCUUGUCUACUUCUUGUGCUAUUCUGUGCCUGGUCCUGAGCUGUGUUGGUAGAUUGACAUAAUUUUGCUCUGCUAAAUGUAUAACUUAUUAAUCAGAGUCCUGUUAUUAUGGUUUGACACUACUGACAUAUUGUGUUGGUAUUUAUUUGUACUUCCCUUGGUUGAAUUAUUUGCUGUCUCCAUGCCAUUCGAUAUGGUGCUACUUGGUUUUUGAUCAUCCAUGACGCUAUAUAUAUGUAAAGGAUGAAUUGAUUGUUUUGGCUUGUAUUCUCACAUUUUAUGAUUGAUCGAUGGAAAGGUCUUCAUGUAUUAAAUUCAACCUCACAAGCGUAAGAUUGACAGAUUGUGGGAAAAUUUUCAGGAAAAGAAACUAGACUUCAUGGAAGCAAUGAAGCUUGAAAUUGAACGUCUGCAGCUGAAUCUUUCUGCAGCUGAAAGGGAUAGAGCUUUAUUGUCAAUUGGAACUGAUCCUGCCUCUAUAAAUCCAAAUGUAUUGCUUGAUGAAUCUUACAUGGGAAGACUGUCGAGUAGCAACCACUCUUGCAUUACUUGGCCAAACUUCCCUAGAAGACAAAAUUGUUGGUGCAAUUGGCCUUGAGAAUAGUGAUGAUAGUGUUUUAGACUUCUGGAAUAUUACUAGAAUCGGAGAGAGUUGUUCUGGUGGCGGGUGCAAGGUUCGUGCAGAAACUAAGGUGCCUCCUCUUGCUUCCUCAACUGCAACAUCUGUUGGAGCUUCACAAUCCCCUUUGUUGUGUUCUCAAUGUGAAAGAAAAAGUUUGCAAAGUUUGUUGUGCAGGAAGAGGAGCUCUACUGUUUUCAAAUUAUAAAUCAAGGGAUGUGACCAACUACAAUGGCUUCUCAAGUCAGAGUGGAUCAAGCCAUGGAAGCCAAGUUGAUGUAUCUACCAGUCGUUCACUAACACUGGAUGGCGUUAUCUGUAAACACUGCUGCCAUGAGAUUGUGCUUGAUGCAUUGAUGUUGGACUAUGUUAGGGUCUUGAUUAGCUUGCCAAGAAGUUCCUGUGCAGACAACGCAGCAUACAAUGCUUUGAAUGAGGUUGUUGGAUCCUGCUUAAAGGAUAGUCUUUCUGAAAGGAUUCAGUCUUCCGAUAACGUGCAAGCUGCUGAAGUCCUUCACCAAUUAUGUGGUGGACAGGAAUCACUUGCUGAAUUUCCAUUUGCUAGCUUUUUGCACUAGGUAUGUUCUUGGUUUGUAUUCAGUUCUCAUCAUGUUAUGUUUUCCUUUUAAAUUUCUUUUCUUGAUUAAAACUUUUAGAAAUAUGUUUUAGUAUUUGUUCUUAUGAUAUAUGCGCAGAACAUUCAUCCCACUUAUCCAUGAGAAUCCUUGUCUGGUUUGAUUUUCAAUUGAGACAUUUUUGGGAACCCUGAGCAGGUUCCAUAUGCUAAUAAUCUUUGAGGUAAGGUGUUGUAGGAUGCCUUGAGAAGCUAAAAACCUAUUACAAGGAAAAGCUCUUGCAUUGUUUUGUGCAAUCUGUGUGCUAGCAAGUCAUGUCUCUAAUAAUUUCAUAGUUUGCUUGAUUAGGAAUUUUUUAUCUUGAUAUGGAUUGUUUAUUCUAGAUUCCUUGGUGCCACUGUAGGUUGAAACAGCAAAAGAUUCAGCACCGAUUUUGUCACUGCUUGCCCCAUUAAAUUCUGGAUCAAGGCACUCAUAUUGGAGAGCUCCACCUUGUACUACUUCUGUUGAAUUUGUUAUUGUUCUCGGUUCUGUUUCUGAUGUCAGUGGGGUUAUCUUGCUUGUUAGUCCUUGCGGCUAUUCUGUGGGUGACACUCUGAUGGUAAGUGCCAUAUUUAUUCCCUUAUUUCCUUGUUGUUCAAUAAAUUUGGUGAUAAGCCAAGUGGCCUUAAUAAUGAAGCCCAGUACCAGGGGUGGUGGGUAAUCGAUAUUCAACUUGUGAAUAUUCCUAAGCAAGCACUGAAUCAACAUAGACCUCGGCAAAAGAUCUCCAUGCUAUUAUAACGAAAGUCAUAUUUUGAAAUGAUUAAAAGAGUCCCUGUGUAGUGCCAUUUCCAAAGAAAUUGCAGCUGGGGGUUUAGUUUCAUGUAGGUUAGUUUCCGAUAAUAAACUUUCCAUUUCAUUAAUUGCUGAUGAAAAAACCAAGUAAGAACAGUUUUGUUGCUCGUCAUUUAUGUAUAUUUUGGUAAACUGUAAUUUUAAAUUCUCAACGAUCUUCCCUUUGUAGGUAAGAAGAUGGUCCACUCACUUGAUAUUUAUGAUUGUAGAUCAGGUUUCUAUUGGUUUGCCUUUAUCAUUCGGAACCCAAGUUUGAUAUUAACAGAGAUCACGUCAAUAAUAUCCUAUUGGGGUAGAUGUGGGUGAGGAUUUAAAAUCAAAUUUGAAAUUGAGGGCAAAGAAGAGAAAAGAAACCACAAUAAUUAAACAUAAUAUUAGGAACUAUUCUGAUGAGUUUUAAUCUCGAGAGGAACAAUUUUCAAAUUCAAAAUUUAACUGCUAGAGAAAUUGUAGCUUUUUGUCAUUAGUUAAGAGGAAAGAGAAUAAGAACUAUCCGGCCCUUUCCUUCAUGAAUGUGUGUUGAGGUUGCUGUAUUAUUUAGUCAGUAUUUGUAAUUUUCUUCCCUGCAGUGCUCUCUGCCUCCUGAAUUUGCUACUGAGUCCAUAUUUUUCUUUGAGCUGUUGCUUCCUAUUGCUGUUACAGGUACAAAUCUGGGCAAGCAAUAAGAUACACCGGGAGGAAAGGUCAUCAAUGGGAAAAUGGGAUGUCCAAUCCCUCAUCACAUCUUCUUCAGAUUUGUAUGGUCCAGAAAAGUCCGCUAGUGUUGAAAAAUUACCUAGGCAUGUAAAAUUUACUUUUAAGAAUCCUGUUAGGUGCCGCAUUGUUUGGAUCACAUUACGUCUUCAGAGACCUGGUUCGGCUUCAGUUAAUUUCGGGAAGGACUUCAGUCUUUUGUCUCUUGAUGAAGAUGAAAACCCCUUUGCACAAGUAGACAGACGUGCUUCAUUUGGAGGAGCAGUUGAAAAUGAACCAUGUAUUCAUGCCAAAAGAAUUCUUGUAGUCGGAAGCCCAGUAAAAAGGGAGGGGCUUACGUCAUCACAGAGCUCUGAGCAGCUAAGUAUUAGAAACUGGUUGGAUAGAGCUCCACAAAUGAGUAGAUUCAAGGUAUUAGUUGCUUUCACUCUUUGUUCAUUCAUAAUUCCAGCUUUCUGCUUGAUGCCUUGCCUCUGAUAAACCUCUUUUUUCUCUUCAGGUCCCAAUUGAGGCCGAGAGAUUGAUGGACUACGAUCUCGUCUUGGAACAAUAUCUACCUCCAGCGUCACCUUUGCUUGCCGGAUUCCGUCUAGACGCUUUCAGUGCAAUAAAACCUAGGGUUACCCAUUCACCUUCCUCAGAUUCAGAUAUCUGGGACAAAUCAGUAACAUUUUUAGAAGACAGGUACAUCUCUCAAGCUGUGUUGUAUUUACAAGUAUCCGCACUCCAGGAACCACAUAACAUGGUAACUAUUGUGGAAUAUCGACUGCCGGAGGCUAGAGCCGGAACGCCAAUGUACUUUGAUUUCCCACGACCGAUACAGUCCCGACGAGUUUCAUUCAAGCUUCUUGGAGAUGUUACAGCAUUUGCAGACUUCAGAACAAGAUGAUUCAGGAUUGAGAGCUCCGCUUGUGGCUACAGGUUUGUCUUUGUCAAACAGAAUCAAGUUAUAUUAUUAUUGUGAUCCUAGCGAGCUUGGAAAAUGGGCAAGCCUUUCGGCUGUUUGAUCGUUAUUUACAUGAGAGAAAGAGUUUUGGGUUUGACUUUGAUUUUGAUUUGUAUUUGUUGUCAUUUCAUUGAAAUUUCUUUUUGUUGUAAAAAAAUCAGAAGGUAAAAGUAUUAAAUUCACUGAUGCGGUAAUAUCUGUGGUGGUUUCAUGAUUUUAUGUUUAACUUGAAGUUAGUAAGCAAUGACUUAACAAUAGCACUUUGAAUUUAACGUGGAUCAUAUUGUAUUUGAAAUUAAAAAAAUAAAGAGAGAAAUUAAUUGUUAAUUGAGUUGGACAAUUUUCCGUAGUUAAUUGCUCCCAGAAAAGAGAAGAAUGGGAUUGUGCUUCCUUACACGAAGAAAGACUCGAACGUCUUCGCGCUAAUUAAUCAAUGAAUGAUUUUGUCAAAUAUCUGGCCCUUUCUUUCUUGAAUGUCUGUGUACAAGUUGCUGUGUCAUUUAGUCAGUAUUUGCAAUUUUCUUCCCUGUAGUGCUCUCUGCUUCCUGAAUUUAUAUUGUUGUGAUCUAGUUGCUGAGUGCAUAUUUUUUCUUUCUCGUUGCUGCAGGUUUGUCGUUGUCAAACAGAAUCAAGUUGUAUUAUUAUUGUGAUCCUUAUGAGCUUGGAAAAUGGGCAAGCGUUUCUGGAGUUUGAUCCUUAUUUAUAUGUCAGAGAAAGAGUUCUGGGUUUGGGUUUGAUUUUGAUUUGUAAUUUUUGUCAGUUUAUUGAAAUUUUUUGUUGUAUAAAAGCAGAAUGUAAAGGUAUAAAAAUUCAUUGAUGCUGCAAUGUCUGUGCUUUUGAGAAAGAAGAAUUCAAUGUCUUUUCUAUGCCAUUGGAUUUUCCCACUGCUUGUAAACUUGGGCUGUCGAAUGCUCUGUGAACCUUAAGGGCUAUAAAUAAAUUUUCAAGACUGAAGGAUUUAUUAAUCGAGUUCAAAAGAUUGUAAGUUGGUGAGCGUUGGCAUUUAAAAAAUCAAUUGUUAUUCUCUCAAUAAUCUCUCUCUUCUGCCGACCCCCCAAGCGCAGAAACCCGUAGAUGAUCUCUCCUCGUGAAGUGUUUUUCUUUUUCGAGUGAAGGUGGUUUUCUACUUACAUAUCUCGGGGGUCUUGUGGGGCCUUAUGAUAUCUAAUGUGUGAAAUUUCUUUCUCAUUUUACCAUAAAAAAUGUCUGUAAUGAUCUAAAGUUCGAGUCUUAAAUUAUCUUAAAUUUAUAUAUAGAGUGGAGCUAUUGGCACCCUAUUUAGAGUGGAGUUAUUGGCACCCCUACAUUACUCUUACAAAACCCCACUUUAAAUAAAAUUACAAUUAAGGACAACUAAAAAUUAAACACUUAUAGAUGUUUUUACAACAAAUUAUUUAAUUCAUAAUCAAUCCUUUAAAAAAAAAAUCUAUAUGUUACUUCCUAUCUAACUAAAAUAAAUUGUACAAAUUUAGAAUAAUCUAUUGUUCUCUUUUGAUUUCUUAUUGAUUGAAUAUUUUUAUAUUUAAAAUUGCUUUGAAAUUAUAAUUUGAAAUAUGUGUUAUUUUAGCCAAUGAUUAAUACUAAAAAACUUAUCACUCAUAUAACUUUUUGAUUUGUGUGUAGGGUAAUAAUAAAAUUAAAAAUAAUUAAAAAAAUAGCACAAUAAUGAGUUUUAACAAUAAAACAAAUCCAAUGAAAUUGAAAAUUUAGAAAAGUGUAUCUAAGAAAAGGGACAUUUUCAGAAAUAAAAUGAAUAUAACUAAAAAUGGGAUUUUUUGAGGAGAUCAUAGGGGUGCCAAUAGUCCAACUCGUAAUUAAGAAUCUCCCAUUAGAUUGUCAACCAAAAAGACACUUGCAUAAGAAGAAGAAUUUGUCAGUUUGAUUUUUUUUGUAGAUCCAACAUUUCUCAUAUCCUGAGCGCCUUUCCGUAUCAAAUUAAAAUAGUAUUAGCAAAAUUGUAGUGCAAAUUCAAUUAACCAACUAAUAGUCUAAGAAGCAAAGAGAGGAUUACAAGUUCACAACACCAUUACAAAGGAUUCAAAAUUCCCACACGAAAACAUCAAUGUACAGAUUAUAAACAAUCCGAAUUGGACACAAGAAAAACCCUUCAAUGGAUUGCUUGCCUUCCCAAUGCUAUAUACUGUGCAAACUGCGCAUUGGCCAAGAAAAUGUUUUCAAUUUAGUGUAUUUUCAAAAUGCUUAUUUUCUCAGAAUAAAAAAAAUAAAAAAAGAAUUCUUACAUGUUUCAUCAGCAUGAUUAAAAUCAAAGAAGAAAGCGAGACAUAAUGUCUCUGACAUAAUAAAAUUACCAAAAAUUUCAAGAAAAAAAAAGGUUAAAACAUGUAAUCUUCAGAAGCAUAUAAUAAAAGAAGACUUCCACAAGUUACUACAAUUUCAUGCAGUAGAGAUUAACUGAUGCUUUGACUUAUUAGCAGGUUGCAAUGAAUUAUUAACUGAUGCUUUGACUAAUUAGUUCUGCAGCUAAGUUAAAUAAAAUAAGGUAUUUUCAAAAGCAAAAUGGAAUCCAUAGAUAAAACAUCAUCUUAAACAAAUCACAAUCUAGAAUUAGAGCAUUUUCGACAUACCUAAGGAACACGAAUACGUGAAAACGGGUGACUCAUCUGUUAAGAAGUGUUGAUUUGAUCGGCUCUGCAAAUUCUCUUGGGACUCGGUUCUAAUUCCUCUUCAUCAAAACUGUAAUAUAAUUCCCCUUCAUCAGAACUCGAAUCAAAUUCACUUGUAGCAGUUCCACUCGCGCUUGGCAAAUCAUCCAAUUUCCAAACUUCGGUACCAAAAUUGAGAGUAAAAGAGGGACAGAGUAAACAAGAGAGGGAAUUUGAUACCUCGUUGUAUGCAUUUUCAUAGCCCAGUCUCAGUGAUGCUGCAAUUGCCAUACGUAGUGAAUCUGCCAAAAUCUUGUUGUUUGCUUUUCCAUCAAGUUUCAAGCAGUUAGUAAACCCAAAAUAAAUUGGUUGUGGCGUCACAUAUUCCGGAUGCCAUUGACGAAGGUCAGGAGAGGGUUUGGAUAGCUUUUCGAGCACGGAUGCAUCUAGUUCUUGUACACAUGACGGAAUCUCUGGCAAAGAUUGAAGCCGGUUGCAGUUCAUUGCAUUUAGUGACUGUAGACACAAUGGAAGUUCUGGUAAUGACUGAAGCAUGUUACAAUCCUCCAAGUCAAUAGUUUCUAGACCCAAUGGAAGUGCUGGUAAUGACUGAAGCAUGUUACAACGCCUCAAGCGAAGAGUUUCUAGACCCAAUGGAAGUUCUGGUAAUGACUGAAGUAUCUUACAAUCCCUCAAUUCAAGAUAUUUUAGACACAAUGGAAGUUCUGGUAAUGACUGAAGCAUAUUACAAUCCUCCAAGUCAAGAUAACGUAGCCACGACAGUUGCUUGAUACUUGCAGGUAAACUCUCAAAGUUAUUUCCACUUAAAUUGCCAAUGUUAUUCGGCAACAUAUCAAGUAUAGAGCAACCACUUACGGACAAAAUUACAAGCCCCGGUAGAUUUUCAAAUGGCGAUGGCAGAGCCGUCCAGACUAAACCGAUGUGAUUUAAAUGUUCCAUUUUCUCCAAGAUUUCUGGGAAACGCUCAAGGUUCAAGCAGCCAUAAAGAAAAAGCUUAACCAAAGAUCUCAAUUUACAGAACCUAGUUGAAAUCCUCUUCAGCCGUUUGCAAAACCUCAAAUCCAACUCUACAAGAUGAGUUAGGCACUCUAUUGAUGAUGGAACUUCUUCUAUUGCAGUGUAGCCCAAGUUUAGCGAUGUUACUUUCCCAGAAAUCUGUGGAAACUCUUUGAGAUUAACACAACAGGAGAAAUUAAUAGUUACUGGACAAACAAAACGAAGAUUGCUUGGAAAAGACAUAAGACUUUUGCAGCCCUCAAAAGACAACGCACUGAGAUACUUGAAAUUCUGGAUAGAUGAGGGAACACAAGCCAAGUUUGUAUAAUCCAAAAGAUAUGUUUCAACAUUUGGGGUUUCUAAUGGGCCUGGCAUCUUGAUGAAAUGUCGAGAAUGACUGAGGUUAAUAGAUUUUAACUUGAAAGCUUCCUGCAAUAACAGAUAUAUAAAGACUAUAUUAAUUAAAAAGCAACAUUGAAUUCAACAAUUAAUUGCACGUAUAUUUAAAGAAAGAAAAAAUUAAUGUUUUAGUUUUAGUACAGAACUUACCUUUUCUCCUUCCCAAAGUUGCUCCACUUUACUAAAACGCAAAUUCAGUUCAACAAGGUUCUUUGGCUUGAAAUUUGAUGGCAGUGUCCUUAAUGGAUAUGUGUCCCAAUGAAGAUAUCUCAAUUUUUUAGGAAGAUAAUCUAAGCCUUUUCGAAGCUGCACUUUAGAGUAUGAAAGUUGCUCUUCAAAGCUCAUACUUAGAAACCUUUCAAUCUCAGGUACAUAAAAUUUGAGCAAUCUUAGAUUAGACAUUUUUGUGAAGGCUCCUGGGUCUAAAUUGAUGCCUUUUAUUUUGGACAAAUCCAGAAAUAUGCCUUCAAUUGCAUCGGUCCCCUUAUUAAAAAAAAAACAAAGAAUGAGUAACCCUAAAACAGAAAAGAAACAUUCGUAAACUUUAUUAACUAAGAGCUCCUUAAACAAAAACAAAUUCUGUAAUCUUUGAUUUUAUUUUUUUAAUAUAUUAAAUAUCUAUAUACGAGAAAAGAAAAUUUUGGGGACCAUUGCAAAAUUAAACUAACCGAAAAAAAAUUCAAAAUUUGGGGACCAUUGCAAAAUUCAACUAAACGAAAAAAAAUUCAAAAUUUCUCUAAUUUACAAACCUGUUAUCUUAAUAUCUAGAAGUUGAGAAGACAAGGCCUAUUUGAUUGGUAUAAGAUUUCGAUUUAUUUUUUUAGUCCAUAGAAUCCAAAAUGUUAGUUCAAAAUUUCGAUCAAUUUCGAUUUAUUUUUUGAGAUACAGCCCUUUUUCAAAAGGAUUUAACCAUCUUACAGCCUCCUUAAGGUACAUUUAAGCUAAAAGAAGUGAUUGGAGGCAGAACUAGGUGGGCCAAUCAGUCCAUUUUAUUAGCGACUAUAGCUUUAAAAAAAUUAUACUCUAAAACACACCUACUUUUUUGAAAAAAAAUAUAAUUAUAUUGAAAUAGAACCAAGUGGGCCAAUCCUCAUGGCACUCACUUUGUUCUGACACUCUUCACUAAAUUUGAAGAAAAAUAAAAUUAUACUCUUCACACUCUUAUUCAAGAUUCCAAAAUUGAAAAAAUUUGGAGUUUUCUUUAAAAAUUUAAAAUUUGAAGACUUGUUCUCUUGACACCCUCAGUCAUUAAUUUCACCUAAUUAUGGUUUUUAUGAUUUUGGUUGUUUUGUUCAUAAAAUAAUUUUACUAAAGGAUGUUCUCGUAAUAAUAAAAAUUAUUAAAAAAACAUGGGUGUGCUGGUAUGGUUGGGAAAAUACGAGUGCAGAACUCCAAACAAAUAAAAGAUUUAUAUAAAUCAUGCAUUUGCAAGCGGCUAUCUAGCUCAUGCGUUGGGAAGCAGUUAUAUGACACUGUUAUGAGUGACUUGUCCACGAGGACAUCCAGUCUGUGAGACCCAGAAUCAUCAAGUAUCCUUGUCACAAAAUCUUUAUCCUCUCCCUCAAGGAAACACGCAAUAUCUAGAAACAUACUCUUCUCCUUGCGUGUUAAUUCAUUAAAGCUAAUCUUUAAUAUAUCAUAAAUACCAUGAAUAUCAGAUUCACAAAUCCGAUUUAAGUCGUCCAAUACAUUUUCCCAAUGGCUUUUCCUCUUGAGAUACAGGGAGGAACCCAACACUUUAAGAACUAAUGGAUUGCCAUUGGCAUACCAUACAACCCUCCAUGAGUGCUGGUAGAGAUCUUCAGGACAAUGAUUUUCUUUAACAGCGAAGUUACAAAAAUGCUCGAAAGCCUCAUCAAAUUUCAAUCCAUUGACCCUAUAUAUUUUCUCCUUCUCCACUCCAAAUUUUUCGAGGACUCGUUUAUCCCUGGUGGUUACAACAAUUCUACUUCCUGGACCAUAUUGAUCAAGCCCUCCAAUCAAACCCUCUAAUUGUUCAUCUUUAUUCACAUCAUCGAGUACAAUCAACGCCUUCAUGCGUCGGACCCUCCCUUUAGUAAAUAGUGGAAUAUUGGGACCAGCUACUUCAAGUUUUUCACUUAAUAUUGUCGAAAGCAUUUCCUUUUGUAGGUCUUCUAGGCCACCCUCUGUUUCUGAUUUUCUCCAAACAUUUUUUGCAAAGUAUUUACCAUCAAACUCACCAGAAAAUUGAUCGAAAAUAGCUUCAGCAAGGGUGGUUUUGCCUAUACCGCCCAUGCCCCAAAUUCCAACAAUUUGGACAGUAUCCGACAAAUCCAUACACAGAAAUGGUUUAAUCUGCUCAAUUCGUGAAUUUAAUCCAACUAGGCCGUUGGAUGAGUCCGUUGAGACUGUUAUUUUUUCCAACUUCUUCAAAACAUCUUCGACAAUUUUGUUUACAAGUUCCGCAUCGUGCCUAAUAGAAAGGUGCAAAGAUGCAAAAACAUUGAGUCAAAUCGGGGCCGAGACAGAAACAGAGAAAAGAUGAAUUAGGAAAGAGAGUUACCUGAAUUUCGUGGAUUCAUGGCCGGCUAUUUGGGAUGUUUCUGUCAGUGCAUCCCUCCACCUCUGAACCAUUUCUGGUUUAUCUUCGAACUGUUUUUUGAGCUCAUCAAAACGGUCUCCAAAUGUUCCGUUUUGAUGCCGCACAUCAGAUGGACUUACUCCAUAGAAGACUGGAAUAAUAAUUUGGCCGUUUGUGUUCUUGCAUUCAAGAAUCUUGACAAGUUCAUUCAGGCACCAUUUUGAAGAAGCGUAGUCCUUUGAGAAAAUGACCACCGAAAUUUUUGAACCUUCGAUUGCGUUCAAAAGGGCGGGUGAAAUCUCAUCUCCUCGCCUAAGCUCUUCAUCAUCAAUAAAUGUUUUGAUUUUCUUUCCUUCAUACAAUUUAUCAUAGAGAUAGCAAGUAAAGCUCUUACGAGUGUCCUCCCCUCUAAAGUUGAGGAAGACUUCAUAAUUGCCACAAGAAGAAGAGGAAGCCAUGAAGGAAAUUUUAGAAAAUUGGUGACAGAAACAGAGAAUUAAUCUUGAGAGUUGAGAGAGGAGAUGUAAGAAUGAACAUGUGUGAAGAUUCUUGCGAGUACAUAUUAAAUAAUUGAAUGGCUGGAGCUUUCUUAGUUUCCUGGAAAUUUCCUGGAGCUUUCGUUUACAUGCUCUGUCAAGUCAUGAAACAUAAUCAUGAUAAUGGGGCAGACCGAAAAGAAAAGCAACAAUUCAAAUAUUUGAUUCAACCAAUAUAAAAAGGAAGGAAAAGCAAAGAAAGGAAAUGUUGAAAGUAGAGUUAGGGAAUUAUAAAAAGCUGAAGGAAAUUGGAAUUUUGCACAAUUUCUACAGCGAGGAACUUUCAGAGUCGUUACCUCAUUGUUACAGUUUAGAUUAAGAUGUGAGGGUGCAAGCAUUUACCUAGAUUUUACCUCCGCACUAAAUUCUUAAGUUUUGAAAAUUAUGAGACCUUUAUAUUGGAACAUAUUAUAAUCGAAUCAAAACUUAAAAUUUUAAUAUUGUUAAUCUUUAAUCUUUAAAAAAAAAUUACCUCGCCGUUACAGUUUGGAUUAAGAUUUGAAUAAGUAUUUACCUAAAUUUUAUCUCCGCCUGUAAAUUCUUAUGUUUUAAAAAUUAUGAGACCUUUAUAUUGGGAGAUAUUAUAAUCGAAUCAAAAUUUUGAAUUUCAAUAUUAUUAUUCUUUUAAAAUUUUUUUGAGAUAACAGAGUGAUUGAUAAUAUAGGAGAACUUGUCUAGGCAAGCACAUGCAUACACAAAUGUGAUGGAUUCAAAAAGAAAUUAAAGUGAUAAUGUACGUGGAUCCUUAAAAUAAAAAGUGAAAUCGCUUGGUGGCCCAGUAAAAUUAGAGAACAAAGAAGAAUUAGUUAUUGAUAUACAAAAGAGAAAAACUCCAAAAUUUCAAGCAAAAAUAGUUUCAUAUACCUUUUCGAUUUUGUAAGGGGUGAGGUUUUGAAUUUCAAUAGUUUCCUCUAAAAUCAAAAGGCAACAAUUAAGUUAGAAAGAGCAAAGAAGACUUAUUAGUACCUUAUUGAAGGUAACAUUAUGGAACUUUCAAUUUCAUUACCUCACUGUUCAAUUUUUAUUGAGAUUUGUGCAAGAAUUUACCUAAAUAUUACCUAAAAUUGAGAUAUCAGAGUAAUAUCAAAUAGAAAAACUUGCCCACGGUAAGCCAAAAGUCUAGUCAACCACACGCAUAAAGCUAAAUAGAACAACUAACAAGAGAACAGAGAAACGCGUGGGUCCCUAAAAGAAAAGGCAAGCACAUAGAUGAAAAAGCCAUUACAUUUCUAUUUUACAUGUCAUUAAUUUCUGUAACACGGUGUGUGGCAGCAUAUGCACAAUCAAGUGAGGCAAAAGGGAUUCAAUUAUCGUGGCAGAACCGGAACGAGGACGCGUGAUGAAUAAUUCCUUCGAUAAAACGAAAAACAAACGCAGAGAAAAGAAUUUCUUAUAUGACAAGAAAUCAAAGAAAUCAAAGUAAUGUUUCAUUUUCCCUUCCCUACCUUUUUUUUGUUUUAUUUUUAUAGCAAAGAAUUAUAUCAUGAAAAGAAUCAAUUUAAUCACCUUUUCUAGCAGCCCAAUUUUUCUUUUAUAAAAUUUGACCAGGGAGACAAAGAAUAAUUAUUCAUACCUUCAUCACUAAGGAAAUACUUUUCGGUAUGGCUAAGGUGAGAAAAGGCUUUCCACAAACACUUGUACUUUGUAUUCCUGUAAAUUUUCUUUAAAGUCAAUAAAAACCAUAAGUUCUUUACAAUAACCAUGUCUUUGAUAAAAAAGUGCCGUAUUCCUUUAGAAUUUAAAACCGGCAAAACCGAAUCAGUGUCUUUGAAGAGACAUAAUGGUCGUAAUUCUUUAAAUGAGUUGGCUAUGGAAAUCCUUAUCCAAUAUUCUUUUACGCCAUAUUCUUUCGUAAACCAAAAUUCAUUUUGGAAUACUCUGUUGAGAAUGUCAAAUAAAACGGCAUUGAAGGAAGUUUUCAAAGGCAGAAUCCGCACUUGUCAAAUGGAUGAUCUGCACUUGUCAAAGACACAAUCCGCGUCAAAUGAAUCGACACAUUUCCUUCUGUAUUCGCAUAUAUAAUCUUUGAAAAAAUGUAGCUUCUGCAUCUAUAAAUAACGUUCAGUGUAUAAUGUUUUAUUCAAGAAAAGAAAACAAGUUUCUUCAUGGUAUCAGAGCCAUGAAUACGGUCAAGUUUCUUCAAGUUUCGCUGCUCUGUUUGUAACAAAAACAGAGAAAACCAAAAUCUUCCCACAACCAUUUUUUCCACCGUUUUCUUCCUUAAAAUCAUUCCCACCAUUAUAGAAAUCCAUGCCGAUCAAAAAACAAGCCACCCAUACGUAAAAAACUUGAGUUUACAAAUUUAUCAACAAUCUCAUAAAUUAGAUACAAAACAACGUGACGUUUAAUCUCCAGAACUGCAACAGUCUUAAAACGACAUGUCGUUUCUAUUCCAUCAGAACCGACAUAUCAUUUCUUCAAGCAGAGGCCAAACAACUUGUCGUUUUUUUUUAUCUAAAAAGGUUAUUUUUUCUUAUUUCAAUCUAGACGCCAAAAAAAAAAAUGGAGAAAACUCCAACUGAAUCUGAUCCUGUUGUCAUUCAAUCUGUUCAAUCUGAUGGAGUAUUUGAUGCUAGAAUUAUCCUCUCUGAGGCAAACUACGAUAUUUGGUCUCAAAUAAUGGAGUUGCAUCUCGCAGAAAGAGAAAAACUCUCAUAUAUUCGUAGCAACACAAAGCCAUCUGAGGAAUCUUCAAAGGAAUAUGAGAAAUGGUAUAGUGAGAACGAAAAGGUAAAAAAAUGGUUACUCAUAUCCAUGCCUUCGGAUAUCAUGAAGCGAUAUUUACAAAUUCCUACAGCCUACGAAAUAUGGGAUGCAUUAUCAAAAGCCUUCUAUGAUGGAAUCGAUGAAUUACAAGUUUUCACUCUAAACCAGAAGGCGUCUCUACCAAGCAAAAUUGACAGCCACUAUCUAAAUUCUUCAGAGAAUUGAUCGAAAUAUUUCGAGAACUUGAUCACCGAGAUAAAGUGGUCAUGAAGGAUCCAGAAGAUGUUGUAAUAUACAAAAGGUCUGUUGAAAGAUUGAGAGUGCACAUUUUUCUUGUUGGGCUAGAUGAAGAAUUUAACCAAGUUCGUGGAGAAAUUCUACGAAAAGAUAUUAUCCUAGAUUUAGAAGAAUGUUAUUUUUUGAUCUGAAGAGAAGAUGUACGGCAAAGCAAACUAAACAAGAAGGUCGACUCAGAAACGUCUGCUAUGAUAACACGACAUCAGCUUCAAAGGAAGCUUGUUGACAAGUCAUCACUCCAUUGCACUCAUUGUAGGAAGAAGGGUCAUACGAAAUAACAAUGUUUUGAAAUCAUUGGAUAUCCUGACUGGUGGGAUACUUGAAAGAAAAACACCAAGCAUGGAUCAAAAACUGUAGUAGUUGAAUCCACAUCCACUACAGAUCUUAGAAAAUAAUCUUCAGUGCAAAUCGCAACCUCUGUCAGUCCAGGUAAGGCCCUUAAAACUCUUACACCUGUUAUUAAUAGUACAUGGAUAAUUGAUUCUGGGGCAACUGAUCAUAUGACUUUUGAUUCUCGACAAGUUUCUCAAUUGAAACCAUCUUCACAAAAACAUGUUUCCACUCCAAAUGGAACCACAACCUCAGUUAUUGGGGAAGGAUCUUUACAACUCACAGAUAAAUUAAAUUUAGACUAUGUGUUAAUUGUUCCAUCUUUAGAUUAUAAUCUUUUAUUUGUGUCUCAAUUAACCACUUACUUAUCAUGUGUUGUAAUUUUUUGGCCUGAUCAUUGUGUGUUUAAGGACAUCCAAAUGAAGCAAACGAUUGGUUAUGGUAUUAAACGAGGCAACUUGUACUACUUGGAGAUGACAUCAACAAACACUGGAAAGCUAAGCCCUGCACUAGUCGCAGAUAGUUCCAUAAAAAAAGGAAAUCAGAAAUUUGGUUAUGGCAUAGACAUUUAGGGCAUGUGUCAUUUGGUUACUUAAAAAAAUUAUUUCCUAGUUUAUUUAUGAAAUUUGAUGUUUGUAACUUUAAUGUGAUGUUUGUGAACUUUCAAAAAGUCAUCGAACUACUUUUCCAUUGUCCUUAAAUAAGAAUCCAGUUCCUUUUAUAGUAGUACAUUCUGAUGUAUGGGGGCCAUCUAAAGUUUCUACAAUUGGAGGUGCUCGUUGGUUUGUUACAUUUAUUGAUGAUUGUAGCAGAAUGACAUGGAUUUUUCUGAUGAAAUCGAAAGACGAAAUAAACUCUUUAUUUCAAAGAUUUCAUAAGAUGGUGACGACUCAAUUUCAUACACAAAUUCGAGUUCUACAUACUGAUAAUGGAGGCGAGUAUAUGAGCACAACAAUUCAACAGUUUCUGAAAUCACAAGGAACUGUCCAUCAAACCACUUGUGUGGGGACACCCCAACAAAAUGGCAUUGCUGAACGAAAAAACAGACAUUUACUAGAAGUUGUUCGAGCAUCACUAAUCCAGGCCCACAUGCCAUUAUCUUAUUGGGGAGAAGCACUGGCAUCCGCAGCAUACUUGAUCAAUCGAACACCUUUAAGCUCUCUUGGAUUCCAGACUCUUUUCCAGGUUCUAAAUGAUGCAAUUAUGUCACCAAAUGUGCCAAAUUUACCCCCACAUGUGUUUGGUUGUGUUGCCUUUGUUCAUUUGCCUCAACAAGACAAAUUAUCUCCUCGAGCACUACGUUGUGUGUUUAUAGGGUAUGCCUUACAUCAAAAGGGAUACCGAUGAUAUGAUCCACCAUCAAGAAAAAUAUACAUCACUAUGGAUGUCGUCUUUCAUGAAGAUAUCAUGUACUACUUGUCAGAGCCUGAAUUUCAGGGGGAGUAUAAUGAAGAGGAAAUUCAUACUCUUACAUAUCUUCCACCUGAAGAAGAUCAAUCUUCCAUUGAGGUAGUAAACCUUCAAGAUAUUGGAAAAGAAAAUGGCGGUGAUUCUCAGGCUGAGAUAAGUGAAGACACAUUUGGGGAGCAAAAUAACUCAGACACAACUGCAAUCGAGAAUGAGUCACAUGAAGAAUACCUAACUAAUCGUCUGCUGAGGAUGUUCCUACCACAAGUCCCAAUCUAAUCAGAAGAAUUCUUCCCCAGCGUCAAAAUAGAGGUAUCCCUAAACCCACAUAUAAGCCUGACCUUUUUAGUAGAGUCAAAUACCCUAUGAGUCAUUUUGUGUCUAACCAUCGCUUGUCAGAAUCAAAUCAGUCAUUUUUGAAUUAAUUAUCUACUGUAUCUAUUCCUAAUAGUGUGCAGGAAGCCUUAAAAGACCCAAAGUGGAAAGCAGCUAUGAAUGACGAAAUGAGAUCUCUUCAGAAAAAUCAAACAUGGGAACUAGUUGAUCUUCCACCAGGAAAGAAACUAGUGGGUUGCCGAUGGAUCUACACUAUAAAGUACAAAGCAGAUGGCUCUAUUGAACGAUACAAAGCAAGGCUCGUAGCUAAGGGUUACACCCAAACCUACGGGAUAGAUUAUACCGAUACGUUUGCACCGGUAGCAAAAAUUAAUACUAUUCGUAUCUUAUUAUCAUUAGCAGUCAACCUGGAUUGGCCAGUGCAACAGUUCGAUGUAAAGAAUGCUCUCCUCCAUGGAUACCUGUCUAAAGAAAUUUAUAUGGAUCUGCCACCAAGAUGCAGUGGACCAGAACGACUCAAUCAGAAAGUAUGCAAAUUGAAGAAAUCAUUGUACGGGUUGAAGCAACCCCCAAGAGCAUGGUUCGGGAAAUUCACAAAGGCUAUGGUUCUUUUUGGGUAUAACCAAAGCAAUUCAGAUCAUACCUUAUUCAUUAAAAAACGACAAGGUAAAAUCACUGCCCUUAUUGUCUAUGUGGAUGAUAUGGUAGUCACAGGCAACGACGAGGAAGAAAGAGAGGCUCUUCAGAAGUACUUGUCGAGAGAGUUUGAGAUGAACGAUUUAGGAGCCUUAAAAUACUUUCUUGGAAUUGAGGUUUCUCGAUCUAAGGGAGGAAUUUUCCUAUCUCAAAGGAAAUAUGCCUUAGAUCUAUUGCACGAAACGGGAAUGACAGCUUGUCAGCCUAUUGACACCCCAAUAGAAGGACUGAAGUUUUGUAUUACCUCAGACCAAGUUCCAAUAGAUAAAGGAAGAUAUCAAAGGCUGAUUCGAAGAUUGAUGUACUUGUCCCACACAAAGCCAGAUCUUGCUUAUGCAUUGAGUGUUGUAAGUUGUUGUGCAAAUUUUAAUGUACUCGCAAGCGCACGAAUCUAUUGUAGUAUAGAUCAAUGGUGAUGAGUGUCGAUCCCACGAGGAGGUGGAUUUUAAUUAUAUAUAGAAUUAAUUUUGUAAAUGGGUAGUUGGAUUUAUGGUGGAAAUGAUUUGGAAUAUGCUAAAACUUAAAUUAAAAUAGCGAGAAUAAAUUCUAAAAUUGGUAUUGAAAUGGCAAGAAUAAAUUGAAGAGAAUUAUAUUGAAAUGACGUACUUGGGUAUCUGGAUCCGUAUCAACAUGCAUCAUGGGCUAAAUAAUCCGUAUUAAUGCCAAUUAAAUCAUGAGGGGGGAAUCUACACCUCAUGAACCACGCUCUAAUCAAUAUGGUGCUAAGGGCUUAUCGUGCCAAAUAAUAAUAACCUUAUACUAGAGAGCCGGUGUAAUCAAGGCGGUAUCUAGACAAGACUAUUAUUAUUUGUCGACGAAAAGUCAAAUCAUCCACAAAAAUUAGAGGGGAAAAGAAAAUAAAUUUACCAAAUAAAGCCCAUGACACAUGUUGAGACUUCACCUUCAACCCAAGCUUGAAAGAAAAUUAGCCACUCAUAAUUGAACUAGGGGCAAAAUGGGAAUUUAUUAAAAUACGAAGAAAAUACAAGAUGGAGAAGGAAUUACAGAAAAUAGAUCUCAAAAAUGGAUUCAGAGAUAUCAAAUUGGGGGGGGAGGCCCCCUUUUUAUAGAUACAUAGAGUAAAUCAUGGCCAUCGGAUUAAAAAUAGUUUGGACGCUCAGGAUUUCGCCACGUCAUCAGUCAACAGUACGCGGUUUGACCACGCGGAUGAACAGUAACACGGUUUGACUCGGAUGAACAGUAACACGGUUUGACUCGGAUGAACAGUAACGCGGUUUGGUUGAAAAUAAUCCAGUGUGAUGCAUGUACCGUACGCGAGAUUUUUCGUCCACUGAUAUGCUGCCACGUCACCAUCAACAGUACAUAAGAAUUUUAGCCCAACAGGAUCGUGACACCUCAUCAGUCAAUGUCACAUCAUCGGUCAAUGCCACGUCAUCGAUCCGUCUAUGUGAACAGUAAUGUGAACAGUACCGUACACGUGAAUAGUACCGUACAUAUGAAUAGUGCUAUUUUUCCUUUUAUGCUCCUCCUAAGGUUUUCGACCGUCCUAAGUUCAAAAGUGAUGUCUGUUUUGCCGUCUGAUCUCUCCUUUAUUGUGAAAUGACUAUAAUGCCCCUAAAAUACAUAAAAUACUUAAUUAAAAUAAAACACAUGUAAUUAAAUCACAAGAAGGUUAAAUACAUAAAAGUAAGGGUUGUUAGUAAGACUUGAAAUGUAAAAUGACGGUUUUCUCCUUUAUAAAUAUGCUUAUGCAUUGAGUGUUGUAAGUCAGUUUAUGUAUAAUCCCGGAGAACAACACAUGAAAGCAGUAAUGCGGAUCCUGAGGUACCUGAAGUCAAAUCCUGGAAAAGGAAUCCUAUUUUCCAAAAAUGGAGAUUACAACAACAUAGAAGUUUAUACUGAUGCAGAUUGGGCCGGGUCAACUAGUGAUAGACGCUCUACCUCAGGAUACUUUACCUUUGUGGGAGGCAACCUUGUCACAUGGAGAAGCAAGAAACAACAUGUCGUUGCCGUUCGAGCGCUGAAGCAGAAUAUCGAGGCAUGACCCUUGGGUUAUGUGAAGGGCUAUGGAUAAGCUUUAUCUUAAAUGAUUUGGGCUAUCCAUCGGAACAACCAAUACAACUAUACUGUGACAACAAAGCUGCACGAGAUAUUGCUCAUAACCUAGUUCAACACGAUCGAACAAAACAUGUCAAGGUAGAUAGAUUUUUCAUCAAGGAGAAAUUAGAUGAAAAAAAUCUUAGAACUGCCGAAAAUUCGAUCAAAAGAUCAACUUGCAGAUAUUUUAACGAAGGCCAUUUCAAGCAGAACAUUUACAAAAUUCCUAGACAAGCUGGGUAUGCAAAACAUCUAUGCAUCAACUUGAGGGGGAGUGUUGAGAAUGUCAAAUAAAACGGCAUUGAAGGAAGUUUUCAAAGGCAGAAUCCGUACUUGUCAAAGGGAUGAUCUGCACUUGUCAAAGACACGAUCCGCGCCGAACGAAUCGACACAUUUCCUUCCGUAUUCACAUAUGUAAUUUUUGAAAAAAUGUAGCUUCUGCAUCUAUAAAUAACGCUCAGUGUAUAAUGUUUUAUUCAAGAAAAGAAAACAAGUUUCUUCAUACUCCUCGUCCGAACAUACAUAGACAGUCUCUCAUAACUUCAGCCGAAUACUUAUGAUGAUGAUCAUUUGUGAUUUCAUCAGGCAUAGGCAAGAACUUGACCCUGUCUACUACCAACCAAAUGCCGAAAUUCGCCUGCCACCCCAAUGAUUCCUAAUCCUAUUUUAAUACCAGGUUUGAUCACAAGAUAAGAAUCAGAUUUAAACACUUUUCCAAGUGUUGUUUCCCAAAGAGAAGUCACACACAUUUUCUUUUCUACCAGGAACUGUUGUACUAUCAGGAAUCUGUAAUCAUCUAUUGAUUGAGCAUAGCAAAAUGCAAAUUUCCGGUCUUGGUAUUCUCUUAACUCUGUAGUGGAAAGAUUGUAUAUCUUAUAUAAAUAGUUAUUAUAAUUACGCCCCGAGUCUCUCUUUAAUCCUCAAGCACAAUAAGCCAUUACAAGAAUCCAAUAUCAAAACCGAUUCAUAAAGCUACCCAUUGCUUUAAUUUGCAAGUUAAAGAAAAAAUCACUUCAGGUUUCGGGGAUACUGUACGUAAAAUCGAGGAAGGUAACUGAAAAACAAUUGUAUAUAUGUCAAGCAAACUGCAGGAUUUGUGAUUAUAUGUGUAAAAUAGAUAAGACUGAUAAUAUAGCAAUCGCAUAUACAUGCCAAUCCUAGUGGAGUAAAAGCUCUAAUGCCACUAGAAUUCUGAUUAUUAAAUUUCGGGAGAACUCUGAUCACUGAUGCCACUGAAAAAUUCUAUUUAUAUAUUUUUUAUUAUUAUAUGUAAUACAUAGAAUAAAUGUUCAACGAAAGUCCAAUAUACAACUGAAACCCACUAAAGUCCAGGAUGAGAAAACAAAAGAAAUACUUCCACAUAUUGGGAGAUUUGAAUCUUCCAUUUUUCUCGAUAUUAGAAUUAAGAGGAGGAGGUGCAGAUGAACCGAAACAAAGGGUUGAUGGUGAAAAAUUUUGUAUGUGUGAAGAAUUGAGCUGUGGAUAUAGGGGACUUAAGUGUAAUCGAAAGAGAGUUAUUAGGCCAUAGUGCAGAUUGCAUUCAGUUUAUGGGUCGAUAUGCAAAUAAUUUGUUGAUGUGGCGAAAUCUAUUAUGGUUGUUAGUAUUGUUUCUAGAAAUUUUCAAGAAACCUCAACAUAAAAGGGGCUUUUGCAUAGCCUCUGGUGUGCGUGUGAUUUCUCUUUCGUUUCCUCAUCAAAUUCUGUAAUUCUUGCUUUGAUAAAAAGCUUUUAAUCUCUUAUGUAGUGUGUGAUCAGUGCGUAAUCAUUUUGAGCGAUAAAAGCUUGUGAGUUUUUCCUUCAAACAGUGUCGUUUUGGUCAGUUUGUUAGUUUGAUCUGUUCGUGGAAUUUUUCUUUGGUUAUUUGUUCUCAAAUUUCAACCGUAAAUAAAGUUUGAACUCUAAUGGCUUAUAAUGUAUUGAUUAAGAAUAAUCCUAAGAGUUCCUGAUUGAAAUUUUUAAUGACUAUUUUUAUUGUUUUGGAUAUACAAAUUGCAUUAAGAAAAAAUAUUGUCAAAUUCAGAGGAUAACGGGAAAUAAUUAUGCUUCAAAAGGCCAGAGAUUAGAGAAUAAAGAAGCAUUCAUUACUGAUAUACAAAAGAGAAACACUCCAAAAUUGCAAGCAAACUAGUUUCAUAUACUAUUUGGAUUUUGGAAGGGGUGAAGUUUUGAGCUUCAGUUGUUCCUCUAAAAUCAAAAGCAGCAAUUAAGCGCUCUCAAUUAGAAAGAGCAAAGAAGACUUAUUGGUACCUUACUGAAGCUAACAUUAUGGCACGGUUGUUCAUAUGUAAUGGCUGCUCUGUUAUGCUAGCUUCUCUGUUUUUGCUUCUAUUUUUGCUUACAGUUUUGAACAUAAAUUCUUGCUCAAAUAACCCAUAAUUAAAUAACACUAAUAUGGCUCAUGAAAUCCUAUAAUAGCUAAUUACGCAACUUUCUCCUCCUCCUCAGUUAUGUCUUCCCCUGCUCGUACACUAAAUUCAAAAUUCAAUGCCCCGAAAAACAACACAAGAAAUCUUUGAGUUAAUUCGUGACCAGUUUAUAUAUAGUAGCAAUUGAAAAAGAAAAAGAAUAAAAGAGUUAAUUAUUAUUCAGACCUUCACUUAUUAGGAAGUUUAUUAAAGUACUUUUCUUUAUAGAUGUUAGUGAUGAAGUAAUUGUGUCAAGUGAGCUUUUCACAGCAUUUUCUCCUUUAAUCAUGGAAGAACUGAAGGACUCAUUUACGCCAGCUAAAAAAUCAUCAAAACUGCUUUUGAUAUUGGAUAUUGAACUGUUAUCCAUAUCCAGAGAAUCAAAUGUUGUGGUGGGAUUCUCAGGUGUUAAUUCAAUAGCUAAUGUGGUUUUGGGUUCCACAGGUGCCAUCAACGUGUCUGCAUUUUCAGUCAUUCGGUCUGCAAAAUCCACAAGUCCUUCUUCCACAGCAGGUACACUAGAAUCUUCUAUAUAUUUCAGCUCCCCACUUCCCAUAGGGUUCAUCUCAUUUGCCGCUUCAACAGAAUAACUCCAUGCAUUAGAUGGUUUGCAACUAAUGUCGUCUAAUUCAUUUGGACAGGAAUUAAUGA
rnacentral:lncRNA from 1 species